rnacentral:lncRNA from 1 species
GGAUGGGACUGGGAGGGACUGGGUUAUACUGGGAGGGACUGGGAGGGACUGGGAUGAGAUUGGGAUCGACUGGGAUGGGACUGGGUUAUACUGGGUUAUACUGGGACGGAACUGGGAGGGACUGGGAUGGGACUGAGAAGGACUGGGAGGGACUGGGUUAUACUGGGAGGGACUGGGAGGGACUGGGAGAGACUGGGAUGGAAGUGGGUUAUACUGGGAUGGGACUGGGUUAUACUGGGUUAUACUGGGAGGGACUGGGAUGGGAUUGAGAGGAACUGGGUUAUACUGGGAGAGACUGGGAGGGACUGGGUUAUACUGGGAUGGGACUGGGAUGGAAGUGGGUUAUACUGGGAUGGGACUGGGCUAUACUGGGAUGGACUGGGAGGGACUGGGAUGGGACUGAGAUGGGACUGGGUUAUACUGGGAAGGACUGGGAUGGACUGGGAUGGGACUGGGAGGGACUGGGUUAUACUGGGAGGGACUGGGAGGGACUGGGAUGGACUGGGAUGGACUGGGAUGGGAGUGGGUUAUACUGGGUUAUACUGGGAUGGGACUGGGAUGGACUGGAAGGGACUGGGAUGGGACUGGGAUGGGACUGGUUUAUACUGGGAUGGACUGGAAGGGACUGGGCUGGGACUGGGUUAUACUGGGAUGGACUGGGAUGGGACUGGGAGGGACUGGGAGGGACUGGUUUAUACUGGGAGGGACUGGGAGGGGCUAUACUGGUCCAUGCUGAUUGAUACUGGUCCAUACUGGUUGAUACUGGUCGAUACUGGUCUAUACUGGUCGAAACAGUGUUCUAUACUGGUCCAUGCUGGUCUAUAUUGGUUGAUACUGGUCUAUACUGGUCUAUACUGGUCAAUACUGGUCUAUACUGGUCCAUAGUGGUCUAUACUGGUCCAUACUGGUCCAUACUGGUCGAUACUGGUCUAUACUGGUUGAUACCGGUCUAUACUGGUCCAUACUGGUCGAAACAGCGGUCAAUACUGGUCCAUGCAGGUCUAUACUGGUUGAUACU